rnacentral:misc_RNA from 1 species
AACGCACAUUGCGCCCCUUGGUAUUCCAUGGGGCAUGCCUGUUCGAGCGUCAUUUGUACCCUCAAGCUUUGCUUGGUGUUGGGUGUUUGUCCUCUCCUCUGCGAUUGGACUCGCCUUAAAGAUAUUGGCAGCCAGUGAUUUGGUCGUAGAGCGCAGCACAAUAUGCGAUCUAUGCUAACAUGACUUGCAUCCAGUAAGCACAUAUACACGUUUGACCUCGGAUCAGGUAGGGAUACCCGCUGAACUUAA